UAAAGAUGAGAAAGUGCCUUGCUAAUCUGU
rnacentral:piRNA from 1 species